rnacentral:rRNA from 1 species
GAUGAACGCUAGCUACAGGCUUAACACAUGCAAGUCGAGGGGAAACGACAUCGAAAGCUUGCUUUUGAUGGGCGUCGACCGGCGCACGGGUGAGUAACGCGUAUCCAACCUGCCCAUCACUUGGGAAUAACCUUGCGAAAGUAAGACUAAUACCCAAUGAUAUCCCACGAAGGCAUCGGAAUCGGAUUAAAGAUUUAUCGGUGAUGGAUGGGGAUGCGUCUGAUUAGCUUGUUGGCGGGGUAACGGCCCACCAAGGCAACGAUCAGUAGGGGUUCUGAGAGGAAGGUCCCCCACAUUGGAACUGAGACACGGUCCAAACUCCUACGGGAGGCAGCAGUGAGGAAUAUUGGUCAAUGGGCGAGAGCCUGAACCAGCCAAGUAGCGUGCAGGAAGACGGCCCUAUGGGUUGUAAACUGCUUUUAUAAGGGAAUAAAGUGGGUCACGUGUGACUUUUUGCAUGUACCUUAUGAAUAAGGACCGGCUAAUUCCGUG